CUGUCUGUACAAUUUAGAUUUGGUGUUGUCAUCGUGACUGAAAAAAGUAUGCUCGUGGUACAAGAACUGGAGCAUAGCGUAAUGAAAAGUUCAGUACUCCUUUCUGAGCGCGAAGCGGGUAGAGAUUGAAGAGUUUACUCUUUUGAUCUCUGCUUUUGAUGACCGUUCCUUGUUAUCCCUGGUGAUUUGGAGGAAGGGAGUAAAAUCACAGUGGU